AACCAUUCUCACCUGCGGCUAGACCUGCGGAGGGAUCAUUACCGAGUUUACAACUCCCAAACCCCUGUGAACAUACCUAUACGUUGCCUCGGCGGAUCAGCCCGCGCCCCGUAAAAAGGGACGGCCCGCCCGAGGACCCCUAAACUCUGUUUUUAGUGGAACUUCUGAGUAAAACAAACAAAUAAAUCAAAACUUUUAGCAACGGAUCU
rnacentral:misc_RNA from 1 species